CUCCCUCUGGCCUGCUGCACUGUCUCUAAAAGAUGACAAAUAAACAUCUGGAAAUGGAGAAUCACAAGAUGUCUUAAAACCUCUGUUCAAGCUUUCAUCUAUCAAACCCUUACUGAGCCCUGAUGUGGUUUAAGUGUCCAUGCAUGGGUCUGGAACUGCUUGCCUCAGCCCCUGGAGGAUCAGAGUUCUCAUGCGCUCUUCAGGGUAUUGACAGAGGGCCCAAUACGUUGGGCUGAUACACUGUCCUGCCUGCCUCUGACAGCUCAGAUUUAGAAAUUACCUCGGUCGUGUGGAAGAUGGUGAUCAGAGUGACAAUGCUCCAGUAUAACCUCCAGGUCCAGCUUAAAACUACAGAACAUUACAGAUGGAAGAACCUUUAUAAUUAAUAACCCCCUUAACAUGUACCAGGUGCUGUGCAAAGAAUUUAUCAUUCCAUAACUCACUUAAGCCUCACCAACAACUUCAAAGGGAGUUACAGUUAUUAUUUCUGCUUUAAAGAUGAAGAAACUCAGACUCAGAACGGUUAAUCAUAUUGCCUCGGGAACACAGUGAGCAAGUGGCUGAGCUGGUAUAUGAAACCAGAUUUGUCUGACUGAUGGUAGAAUCCUCACUUUUUAAUACUGUGCAGUAGAUCACUUGUAUCAUUAUUCCAACCUUUUUUUCUUCUCUAAUGUUUUGCAACAAAUGAUUUGGCUGAUCCUUUUCAAUAACCCUAUCCACCUCAAAAAUAAGCAACCUCCAAAGCUCUUUAUUCUUAUCUAAUUUAAAAACCACCAAUCAAAUUGAACUCUAUAAGAACACUACUGAACUCUGAACCACAGGUGUGUAGACUCUUUCCCCAAGUCACAUAAUCACUUAGUCGGACAGCUGGAACUAGAACCCAGGACUCUUCAUUCCCAGGCCAUUUCUCUGCUUGCUCUGUACUUGCUCCAAAGCACAAGGCAAAUCCAUUCUGCAUCUGAUAGAAGUUGGAGUGAUGCCAAUAGAGGAUGCCAGGGGAAAGCCCUGCUAUAUCUAAGAGGACUACAGAAGAUAUUGAGAAACAAGUGUAAAUUUCUGAUUACUAAUGAUGAAAGAUGAGCUUGCUUUCUAGAACAUUCUAUGAUGCAGUUACCCACUUCCCAAGGA
rnacentral:lncRNA from 1 species